rnacentral:rRNA from 1 species
CUACGGAGGGGGCAAGCGUUGUUCGGAAUUACUGGGCGUAAAGCGCGCGUAGGCGGGCUGGUUAGUUGGGGGUGAAAUCCCAGGGCUUAACCCUGGAACUGCCUCCAAUACUGCCAGUCUAGAGUUCGAGAGAGGUGAGUGGAAUUCCUAGUGUAGAGGUGAAAUUCGUAGAUAUUAGGAAGAACACCAGUGGCGAAGGCGGCUCACUGGCUCGGUACUGACGCUGAGGUGCGAAAGCGUGGGGAGCAAACAGGAUUAGAUACCCCGGUAGUCC